GAUGAACGCUGGCGGCGUGCCUAAUACAUGCAAGUCGAGCGAACGGACGAGAAGCUUGCUUCUCUGAUGUUAGCGGCGGACGGGUGAGUAACACGUGGAUAACCUACCUAUAAGACUGGGAUAACUUCGGGAAACCGUAGCUAAUACCGGAUAAUAUUUUGAACCGCAUGGUUCAAAAGUGAAAGACGGUCUUGCUGUCACUUAUAGAUGGAUCCGCGCUGCAUUAGCUAGUUGGUAAGGUAACGGCUUACCAAGGCAACGAUGCAUAGCCGACCUGAGAGGGUGAUCGGCGACACUGGAACUGGGACACGGUCCAGACGCCUACGGGAGGCAGCAGUAGGGAAUCUUCCGCAAAGGGCGAAAGCCUGACGGAGCAACGCCGCGUGAGUGAUGAAGGUCUUCGGAUCGUAAAACUCUGUUAUUAGGGAAGAACAUAUGUGUAAGUAACUGUGCACAUCUUGACGGUACUUAAUCAGAAAGCCACGGCUAACUACGUG
rnacentral:rRNA from 1 species